GUCUGCGUUUGAACCCAGCUCCCCGCAUGUCUGUACGUACCAUCCGCCCACUCAGCACCCAUCAGCUCCGUACCUCUGCCUCCCUGUCGGCCCUCUGUCUGUCCGUCGGUCAGUCACCAGGUAACACCGGGCGGGCCUCCUCUGGACAGGAGUUCUGCCUGCGGACGCCAUGUCUCACCACAGACGCCUUCCAGAAAUCAAGACCUGCCUGUGAUCAGAAAGAGGAAGGUAGGGCUUGGCCUGCCCCCCCCCCCACUUCCUUCCUGCGAGACCACAGCCCUCCAAGCCCUUCCUGCUCACAUCCCGGCCCGCAGGCCCCUGUCCAGCCGCCCCAGGACCGGGGCAGCGCAGAGAGGCCGGCCAUGUCCCACCAGCCCGUCCACCUCCUGGGCCUCCUGCUCUGCCUGGGCCAGGGGAUCCACACGCAGAAGGGGAUCCUGCCCAGACCCUCCAUCUGGGCCGAGCCGGCCUCUGUGGUCCCCUGGGGUCAGCCCGUGACCGUCAGGUGCCGAAGCCCUGCUGAGGCUGAGACUUUCCACCCGGAGGAGGGGAGUCCCUGGUAUCAGGGUAUGAGGAGCGCAGCGCACGGGACGGAGGCCGGAUUCCCCAUCAGUGCCGCGAAUGAGGACGCUGCCGGCCUUUAUCGCUGCCUCUAUUACAGAAGUUUCACCUGGUCUGAGAGCAGUGAGGCGCUAGAGCUCGUGGUGACAGUGUGGGUACCCUGAGCCCUGGCCUCAUCUGGACGCCAUGAUAGCUUGGACGCUCAGCCCAGUAUGGGGAGGGCAUGGAGCUGGCCCGUGGGGAGUGGGCUUCCAGGGAUGGGGCGUGCAACAGACCCCAAGGCCCCUCCCUUCCCGAAUUACACGGGGGGAACUACGUCCACUUGAGCCUGGCAGGUGUGGUCUUGCUGAUCCUGAUGGCGAUUCUGGCAGAAGCCUGGUACAGCCGGACAGGUCCCAACACAGGUCCCAACACGGACCGCAAAGAAGGAGAGAGACUAGACCCGCAGGGCCCAGGAGGGACAUCCCCAGGCCUCUGAGGCACAGGCUGGAGGAGACCCAGCGCAGCCCUGGUUCUGGGCUUUGCCUCCUGGACUGACGCAC